rnacentral:rRNA from 1 species
AGCUAUAUGAUUUAAUAUUUAGUUUUUUCUGCCCAGUGAUUAUUUAACGGCCGCAGUACUUUGACUGUGCUAAGGUAGCAUAAUCAAUUGACUUUUAAUUGAAGUCUAGAAUGAAUGGAAGAAUGGGAAAAUUCUGUCUUUAUAAAAAUUUAAUGAAAUUACUAUUUAGGUGAAAAUACCUUAAUAUAUAAAAGGGACGAGAAGACCCUUAGAGUUUUUUUGUUGGGGUGACAAAUAAGCAAACCUUAUUUAAUGAAAGAAAAAACUACCUAAGGGAUAACAGCAUAAUUUUUACUUAAGCUUGUGACCUCGAUGUUGGACUAGGGAGAUAUUAAUUAGAAAUUAAUGUAUAUGGUUCUGUUCGAACUAAAUACCCU